GACGACAAUGAAGACCUUGGCAUUGUUGACACUUCUGCUGAUCAUGAAUGGUUCUGCGGUGGGACAAAUGCUGAAAUCUAAUGUGACGGGCUUUGUUGGACAGGAUGUUCUUUUACCAUGCAACUGUUCUAAUGACCCUAAAGAACUGGUUUGGCAGACAGAUCUGAGAGUAGUGAAUUUUCAUUCACAUGAAAUUAGCAAAAUAGAUGAUGCCUACGUAGACAGGACGCAACUCUUCCUAAACAAGGAGAAGAGAAACUGUUCCCUGCUGCUCAUAAAGGUCUCUUCAGAAGACGCAGGACUGUACACCUGUUAUGCCAUAGCCAAGGUUGGUGACGCCUGGUCAAGCAAGACAUCAACAGUUUAUCUAACAGUGUCUGAAAUGAACAUCGACCCUGAAACAAAAGGCCUUACUGGAGACAGUUCUGUCACAGCUGUCUCUGUCAGUGUUCCCAUAUUGGCAAUAGUGCUUAUACUGGCUGCUAGUCUGCUUCUAACUCUACUGAUCAGAAGACGACAUCGGACAAACACGGACACUGAUUUACAGGUUGAGAGUCCAAUGCUAGUGGAGACCAGUGCUGUGUGAAGUUCUCUUGCUUGACAGUUUAAUGGACUAACUUCAAUGUUGUAAUGCAAGGUCCUUCACAGCAACAAAGGAUAAUACGAGGCCUUAGCCCUAAACAAAUGCGCUUGCAUGUGGGCAUCCCACAGUGGUGCGUGCCGAUCCGUCUCGCUUCAAGACAGAUCAAUGUGCAGUCUUCAGUUGUAACACUGUUUGAAAUAUACCACUGAACUGUGAAUAUACCAUGAAUAUAUAUAUUCUGUAGGCAUUACAGUUUCAUAACUUAACAAGAUUCUCCUUGUAGGAACUGUCUUUAUUCAUUCUUUGAAGAACAGAUGUAAUAGUAGGGGAUGUGCAGUUUAUAUUUAGCCUUUUUCCUCCCUUUUUGAGACACAUUGGUGGUCUCAAUCCUUAACAGGCUUUUCAAAUCAGCUUAUUUUAUUGUUCAUAUGUAUACAGCAAUCAUUUACUAAGCACACAUCGUGAAAGCUUCUUUACAUUUAUUAUACAGCCUGUGCUGAUUUUAAUUUAUGUGGAAGAAAUAUGUGGCACUCCCUAUGGGAUAUUUUUGCUUUUUUACUGUACUAAAUGUCAUUUACUUUUAAAUGAAUUCUGUUAAGUGCUUCAAACCUGCUGAGGCAAUAAACCUUUUACAUAUACCGUUUAGUUUUCUUUUGUUUUCUGUAUGUAUGGCCUCUUUAGUUACUGAAGUUUUAGUAUAAUGACAUGUCUUAUUUAAUUCCCGCCUUAACCCGGGUAUGUAGAACACUAUUUUGCUGACAUAGGAUUAAAGUCAAAUUUCCCAACCAGAGCUUUGUGCUCUGGCUGUUGCGUAACAUUGAGGUUUUUAUUCAGUCCGAACACUUGUUCCUUGUCUCAAAUCUUUGGAUUCUUUCCACUGGUUUGGUUUCAGUUUCCAUAUGACUGUACUACAAAAAUUGGCACAUUAACAUGUAUUGAAUGAAGAAGUUAGAAUGCACAAACUCCAAUGACCAGAGGAAAUACACUUCUAGUAUCAUACGAUAUUAAGUGAGGCAUUCAUAAGCAUUACAAAACAUUUAGAUAUAUUUUGCUGUCAUAAACUGAUCAUUCAAAACUAUGUUUUUAUAAUUCCCUAAAUUUUUACAACCUGCUGGUUACUCUGCUGCAGCAGUGUUUGUGGGAUAUUAAGGAUAAAAUAUAUAGGCCUAUACCUACUCUAGUUCAUAGUUGGACAUCAAUAGGCAUUACCUGGUUUUAAGUCAAGAAUUGUCCCUGUGUAUUCAGACUAUGCUAAUUAGUCCACUAAGGUCACGAUAAGAUACAGUACCUAACCUAAAUAUAAAGCAAUGACUGUUUUUGUCAUUUUCGGUGUUUAACUGAAAGAAUGUUUUGGAUUAAAAGCUUCUAGUAGAGGAAGUAGCUGCCAGGUGGUUGAAAAUGUGUGUUAAACAGCUUGGGUGACAUUUUUACCUUUAAGAUAAAGUUCAUGAAAAGAUGUCUUCACACAAUGUUGACAGUAAGAUUAAAGAGAUAGUUCAUCUAAAUUCUCUCAUAAUUUACUCACCUACAUGCAAUUUCAAACCUGAAUGAUUUCUUUUGAUUCUGUGUACCAAAGAGAGAGAGAGAGAGAGAGAGAGAGAGAGAGAGAGAGAGAGAGAGAGAGAUGUUAGGCAGGAUUUGCAUUUCUGAAUGGUGCCCAAACGUAACGAAAGCAAAGGUGAACUUUCCUUCUAAUGUAUAUACUUUGGCGGCAUACCAGGAAGUACAGGGAGAUUUUGAUCCCAAGUCUAUUUUUAGGAACGAUAAACUCAAAUGAGGGAAUGACAUGUGGAAACAAUUACAAAACACAUAUAAGACACCCUCAUCAUUUAAAAACAAGCCAUUCAAUCUUUAGGCCUCUUUUAAGCCAUGAAAUACCAAGAGGAUUGAGCUUUUGGUUUUUUUAUAAGACUUUGUAUAAAAACAUCUUGUGUCAACUUUACAGAAGACAAUAACGGAGUGAAGAACUUCUCAACUGAAUUAAAAUUCAGUCAAGAAAGAAAAGCACCCUCCUCUCUUUGUCGCCUUGGAAAGUCCCAUGCUGAUGUCAGCAAAUAUGGUUGGAAAUUGUCAUGUGAUGAUGUAAUUAUUAUUUUGUUUUUACACUGCUGUGAAAUGCAACAAGCUUUUUAAUUACACACAUAUAACACACCCAUGAGUUUUAUGUUUGCCCAAAUCACUUAAUAAUUAAACCUAUUAUGUUUUCAGAUAAAAAUAUUCUGUUUGCUUCCUAGUUAUUGCCAUGCUGUUGCAAUUUUUUUUUUUUUUUUAUGUUCAAAAGCAGCCUAAGUUAUUCAUCUAUCUUCUCAUGCUUUACUAAUAACUUAGUGCAAAUUCUACUCUGGAAAACUAAGAGUUAGUUUUCAUGGCUAUGACUGCAACUUCCAAGCCUAAAUGAGCAGAAACACAUGAACUCCUGUGCUGUCAACAUGAAACUUUUCAUGUUGUGAGGUGAACAAUGAGAAGCUGAUCAUGUAUCUUCUUUCACAAGCUUACAUAAUACCCAAGUUUCCAGGAAGUUAACUGAAAUAGAAAAUAAACCAGAUAGGAAAGGCUAAGUAGCACAGAUUUAAAUUCACAUAACCUGUUUUGUGGUUGGUGAACGUUAAUGUGUGUGGGAGAGAUUGAGAUCUUGGAAGUUUCUGUGAAACAAGCUGUGUAACAUUUUAAAGUGACUUUUAAGCUAAGCUUUUUGGCACCAAGGUAUUGUUGUUGUACCUUAAGUUAAAGUGUCUGAGGAAUUGCAUCAUAUUUCCUUGAUCUUUAAAUGAUCAAGCUUCAUAUACUAGGUAAAAGUACUGUACUGCAAAAUACCCUG
rnacentral:lncRNA from 1 species